GAUGAGGAACGGCUGGGAUCGGGAUCAGGAAUGUCAGGGCGGUCCCGGGCAAGGAGGCGAAGUGGAGAGAGAGAACAGGGCUGGGUGUCGGACUGAGAGAGAGUCUGCGGGUCAGAUGCUGCCUGACCCACUGAGUGUUUCCUGUGAGCUCUGGUUUUGUCCCCCGGCUGCCGUGGCCCAGGCGUGGCCUCAUUGUGUCCGGUACAGGAGUGUGUGAGGGUGUGUGUCUCCCCGACUCCCCACAGACGGUGGGGUAGGGGGGGGGAGAUCAGGAUGAG